GGGCGGUUAGCUCAUCAGGAUAGAGUGCAGGUCUCCGAAGCCUGAGGUAGUGGGUUCGAUUCCCGCACCGCCCG
rnacentral:tRNA from 1 species